GAUGAAGAACGCAGCGAAAUGCGAUACGUAAUGUGAAUUGCAGAAUUCAGUGAAUCAUCGAAUCUUUGAACGCAUAUUGCGCUCUCUGGUAUUCCGGAGAGCAUGCUUGUUUGAGUAUCAGUAAACACCCCAACUUCCAUAUCUUUUUUGAAAUGGGAGUUGGACUUGAGUGAUCCCAACGCUUUUCCUCACCGAAAAGUGGCGGGUUACUUGAAAUGCAGGUGCAGCUGGACUUUUCUCUGAGCUAUAAGCAUAUCUAUUUAGUCUGCCUAAAAAACAGAUUAUUACCUUUGCUGCAGCUAACAUAAAGGAGAUUAGUUCUUGUGCUGACUGAUGCAGGAUUCACAAAGACAGGCUUCGGCCGACUUUGUAAACUCGAUCUCAAAUCAAGUAAGACUACCCGCUGAACUUAAGCAUAUCAAUAAGCGGAGGA
rnacentral:misc_RNA from 1 species